rnacentral:rRNA from 1 species
GACGAACGCUGGCGGUGUGCUUAACACAUGCAAGUCGAACGGUAAGGCCCUUUCGGGGGUACACGAGUGGCGAACGGGUGAGUAACACGUGAGUAACCUGCCCUCAUCUCUGGGAUAACAGUCGGAAACGGUUGCUAAUACUGGAUAUGAGCUUGCAAGGCAUCUUGUGGGUUGGAAAGAUUUUUUUGGUUGGGGAUGGACUCGCGGCCUAUCAGCUUGUUGGUGAGGUAGUGGCUCACCAAGGCUUCGACGGGUAGCCGGCCUGAGAGGGCGACCGGCCACAUUGGGACUGAGAUACGGCCCAAACUCCUACGGGAGGCAGCAGUGGGGAAUAUUGCACAAUGGACGGAAGUCUGAUGCAGCAGCGCCGCGUGCGGGAUGACGGCCUUCGGGUUGUAAACCGCUUUCAAUUGUGACGAAGCUUUUUGUGACGGUAGCAGUAGAAGAAGCACCGGCUAACUACGUG